AACACAUGGCAAUGCUUACCUCUUGGCUGUGAAAAGCUUUGCUUCCUAAUGGCUGCAGAUCUAGCUGUUUGAUCAGUUGGCAACCCUGGCUGGAUUUUUGGCAGAGGGAACAGCAGUGGUUCCUGCAGAGACACUUCUGUGAAACUUUAAGGGCUUGUAAUCUAAACAGGAGGCAGUUUGACCCAGAGAUCAAACCUCAACAUUCCUUCUUUAACUUAAGGACCACGUUGCAGCCAUGGAUGAUGGAUGGGACAGAGCCAACUCCUUCACUGCCCUCCGCAGAUCUCAGAUGGACCUCAGAUGCCCAUAAUGUACAUGGCACCUUCAUAGAUCCCUAAGAACAACAACUGCCCAGGUGUCAGGGGGAAUCAAGGGGUCAUCAGAAAGGACCAUUUGAAGCUUUGAGCCUUGCCCAGAAUGACCUUUCUUGGCUAGUAACAGUUCUUCAAGGUCUUUUCAAGCUUUGAAGCCUGACAUCAGCCUUCCCCAACCUAGUGCCUUCCAGCUGUUUUGGACUACAACUCCCAUCAGCCCCAGCUAACCAGGACAGUACACAAACAUAGAGCAUGGUGGCAAUGGAUGCAUGAGGCUUUGAGCAUCUUACAGCCAAAUGGCCUGGAUCCUAAUUUUGGCAUCAGAUUUUGGGGUAUUGCUUCUUUUAUAGGUUCAGCACUAUGGAUGAGAGGAUCUGUCAGUUUCAGUUCUCUCAGAUUCUCAUUUUUCCAAUCAAACUUGGUUCUCUCCAUCUCUAGCAAUUUUCAAUUAAAAAAAUAAUAAAAUUCACCAGCAUUUUAGUGAGAA